CUCGCGCCGCUUCCCGCCCCUCAAGUGCGUGAGGGUCACCACCCGCCGCGAGGAGCGGCUCUCGAGGGGAGUUUUAAUUUGCAGGUUACAAGGAAGCCGGGACAAAAAUACCUCACUGGGUUUUAAUUUGCUUUUAAAAAAAAAAGAAAAAACAACAAAAAAAAAUACAUCUCCCCCAUUGUUACCGUAUUUGUAACUGCCCUGCGCGCGCGCCUUCCCCCCCCCCUCAGGUGCGCGAGGGUCACGAGCCGGCGCGCGCGGCUCCUGAGGGAAGGCCGGGACAGGUGCUGAUCCUACUUUUUUAAACUUCUUUUCCAGGUGUGUUUCUAUAACGGUUUUAAUAAAAAACAGCCGGGUAGCGCUUUCCACCCUUCCCCUCCUGUUUUUGCCCGCUGUGUCGCUCCCCGGGGCACCUGAGGUACUCUAAGGAAUGAGCUCACCUCCUCUUGCAUGAGGUAAAAACGUGUCUCCAUCCCUGUCUGUUGUUCCCAGGAAAAUACUUUCCUCAUAAAUCAUCUUUAUUGUUUUUCAGGAGUUUCUAGAUUGCAGCAAAAUACAGGUGACUUGACGGUGAAAAUUUUUGUUGCCUCCAAAAAUAACAUUUUAUAAGCUACAGUUUUAUCAGUGCUGCGUGCUCUUACUUCAGCACAUUAUCCAUCUUAUGUGGAGUGCAGUGAUCAAUAUUUAGAAGUUAAUUAAUGAAGCAAACUCACUGAGUGUCAGCAGGAGCAGUUUGUGCCAGAGGCCUUUCUUGAACAGGUAUUUCUGGACAGUGGGACUGAGGAGGGCAGUUCUGCCAAAGCUUUGGCACUGCUCAGGAUUCUUACAAGACUCGAGAUGAUUCAGAUAAAUGUCAGAAGGAAUUUUCUGGCUGCUGGAAUUAGGAAGUUGUGUAAUGCAGUUUUCUUUUGAUAUCAGCAUGGUGUUAAACAGACUCACUACCUUACAAACUAGAACCACCAGUCAAUCAGCUGAAUUCAAACAGUCUGAUCGUUUUCUGUUUACAUACAGUGAACAACAGGAAACUUGGAGAGCUUGGCAAAAAGACCCACUGGUGCAAAGGAUGGCAUUUGAUUUAUUAUUAUUUUAAUUGCUAAGGGAGAGUGUAACUAAAGUCCCUGGAGAAGUCUUCAAAGGAAGAAAGAUAAAUAUUGAAAAAUGUUAUUUACAGCCUUUAGCGUUUCAUCCAUGUAAAUACAAAUUUAAAUACAGGGGCUGAUCACAUCUGCUGAAUAUUCUCCUUACUAGAAACAAUGCUGAAGAGUCAAACACAGCUGCCCAGAGAAUGGUGGAAUGCAAGGACUUGGUGCCUCCAUCCGAGUGGACAUCCUGAUCUGGUGUUUCUGUGCUGGCAGAGCGUGACCAUGGAUGGGCUCCUGUCAGGCUGGGCUGGAGUCCUUAAUGGGCCUUUGAAAUGUGCCAGCGUGAAAUGCUCAGUUUGUAUUUUGCUUUGGGAUGAUGUUUUCUGGCUCAUGGCAUAGCUGCAGUCUGAUAAAGUGUCUAAGGCCUGCGAGAGGAUUUUCUUUGAGCUGUUGGCCAUAUUCCCCUCUCUCUGGUUUUGCAGCCUCCUGAGCUGAUACUCUGACUGCAGUUAAUCACUCUCUGAUGGAGUUCACUAAAAAAUAUCCUCAUUAGUCCAGAAGAGUUUAAUAUUUUUUCCCUUGGAUUAUUUUGAAAAACAGCUGUGCUGCUGCACUUAGGUUGAAAAGGAUUUUAUGAUCCAUAUUAUGCACAGCAACAGAUGAGGGGAAUAACUUCUUGACAUAACUGUGGUCAGAGAAGAUAAUCUGAUCCACUCUGAAGGCUUAGAAGUCAUUAUCUAGUGGAUGAAAGGGACUCUCCUCUAAAUAUUUAUUAACAUAUGCUUGGGAUACAUUUAAAACACAUCUAUCUGAUGGAUAAAAUUUGGGAUAAAGAUAAUGAAAAAGAAAAACAGUUUUUAUUGACAAGAGUGAUAUUAAACAUGCCAGAGGGGGUGCUUUGUAUCCCAUUCCAACUCUAACAACAUCUGAAAUGGGCUUAUUUAAAGUGAUUCCUUUGUCAACUGUGGUUGUUCUGAGUGCAGUCAGUGGCUUCAGUGGCUCCUCUGAGCAGUUUGUCAGGGCAGGGUGGUGUUUCCUGACUGCUUGGUUAGAAUCUGCAAGAUGAUGAUUGGAAUAUGUUGAAUGUGAAGCUGGUAAAUAACUGUGUUUUAUUCCAAUUUUGCCAUAAAUGAGAAGGGAAAUCUGAAGCAAUGCAUUUCUAAUACACAAAUAUAAUGAAUGGUAUAUUGUGUGUUAUAGCUGUACUUGCCAUUUCUCCUUGUUGAUAAGAAAAUUAAUCAGAGAAAAAAAAAAUCUGCAGACUAGAAGUUUUCUCUCUCUCCAUUUCUGUGCCACUGCUAAGCCUCACAAAAGCCCUCUCCUGGUUUCCAUAGAAAUGGCUCUUCUGCUGAUUUGAGGUAAAGGUUCACUUCCCUUUCUUCUUGUAUAUCUAAAGUCUGAGUUUCCUGAGAGAUUAUUUUAUUUUCGACAUCCUUCAUGUAUAUAAGGACAGCCCAGGUAGAGGGGCUGGUGGAACUGGGGAAACUUCCUCUCUCACAAGGAAAAAAUCUGGAUUUAUUUGACUGAAGAGCAGAGAAAAAAGGCAUGUGUGUGUCACUUGUGCAUUUCAGUGAAUCUGAACAGAACCAGCUCUGUGUGUGCAUGUUCCACAACGUGCUCUGGCUCCUAAAACGUCCCUGUGAUCCCACCAGAACAUCAGCAAGCGGAUUUAGGAGAUCCUGAGUUAAAGCCAGGCAGAUGUGGUCUCAGUUUCUCAUCAGGCUGAGUUUUAUAUCUAUUUAUAUACGCAAGAUUUUCUGUAUACACUUUGUUUGCAUUAGAAUACACCCAUUUCUUUGAACCAUAUGAUAGAACUAGGAAAUAUAUUUGGGAACCACUCACAGAAUGUUUACAGUGGGUAAUCUUAAUCUGUGUUACAGGAUUUUUUCCUAGUUUUGUUUGAGACAUUUACGUCUACAAAGAUGUCAUUCACAAUUUAGUUCUGAUGAGUGUUAUUCUUGGAACUUCCAACAGAAUUGCUUUCAUGGAGUUACUCUAACAGUUAUUUUAAAAUAAAUGGGGAAUAGUCAGGCAUAUCCUCAACUUUGUUAUCCAGUGUUUUGAAUCCAGAUGAUGAGAGCUUUGACAGGUUCUGUCCGUGAUGUUCAGUGCAUUAUCAGUGCUCACUGACACAAAGGAAAGCAGAAUUUAUUCUGCUGUUUCUGAGAGCAAGGGUUUGAUGUUGCUGAAAUAAGUGAUGCAUGAUUUUCAUAAUGCUGUUUUCUGUUCCUGUUCUGCUUUUUUCCCCUUUUUAUUACCUUUGCUCCCCUUGACAUUUUCAGGAAUAUUAAAUUUUCCCAAUAGAGCUGUUCACUUGUAUACUAGCAAAAAGGUCAUAUUAAGAAAUUCCAAAGACUAGUACUACUGAAGAGCUUGGGGAUUUUUUUAGUGCUUUGGGUUUUCUUUCUGCUUUUUCCAGACUCAUCGCUUGUCUUGUAGAUACCAUUGCUACCUUCUCACCUGCCAACAUGGAACAGUAAUUAAAGCAAACCCCACUGUGAUCAUGUCCUUAAUUUGGGCUUUUCCAGGAGUGCCCAUGAAGUGAACAUUUCUUUUGUGGUUGCUCAGUUGCAGGUGACAGCUUCAAAAUACCCUCUCAGCUACUUUGGGAGAGUUGUUGCCUUCAGCCCCAAAAAAGUGUCAGGGAUAAAAUCAAUGGCCUGAGACUGCUCCUGUUUCACUUCACAUGUUUAAAGAUGUCAAGUAAAUUCUUUAUUUGCUUUUUUGGUGGUUUGUUUGUAGUAACAGUUCUGUUUCCAUUCCAUUUGUGCUUGAAUUUUUGAGCAAUAAUAUGUGCAGUCCUAGAAGAUUGAGGUAAUACUUAUCUUCCAAAUUAUCUGGCAUUUCCUAAUGUAUGUGAGAAAUUCUUACAGUGGAACAAAUCUUGGCAGGUUUGGUAUAUUCUGCAUCUGUAACUAUUGCUUGAAUACAAUUCCAUAGGGCAGAGAUGAUCUGCGUUAUUUAAUUAAAUGCACUAUGUUGGUUUAGCAACAUUAUUAUGUCCCUUGAGCAUUUCAAAGUGUUUUAAAUGGUUUUGCUGUUUUCAAAAAGUAGCAUUCUUUUCAGUCCAUUUAAUUGUAAAUAUUUAUUAACAUCUAUGGUUUCCUCUAAUAAUAUAAAUGGAACAAACCAAACACACCCAGAUUAUUAUAUUUUCUGCAAUAGUACUCUCUUUUAUAAUCAGUUCUCUUAGUUUUCUGUGUAUAUGUGUGAUCAGACUAGAACUACCUGUACUGAAUCUUCAGCUGUAUCAUUCUUUGUGUCAGUGUCUGAAGCAAAUUACCUGCUAGCAAAGAUCCCGAGAGAUGAAUCUUAGCAGCACAAAGUCCCUGAGAUUUUUUUCAAUAAUUAAAGUAUUUUGGUUAUAGGUUCAGAUUUCCUGCUUAGAGAUCAGCGCUCUGAAGGCAGAUAAAUGAAAAUGGUCCCUUGAAAAGUUGAGUUUCCAAGCUGAAAUAUAUCAAAUGCUUUGGAUUUUUUUGCUAGUCAUUAUUUGGUGUGAUUUCAAGAAGAAAUAAAAUUAUGAAUGUUGUAACUAUUGGGACCAUAGCUGAGAUCCCACUAUGCUGAAGUAUUUAAAUUCCAGCUGGCUAGCAAGCUAGAAGAGAGUCCCAGGUUUGCUGCGAGUUCUGACUUCCUCCUGAUUGUAAUGUAUCUGUUGCAGUGAAAUUCCUUCUCUAAUUCCAGCCUCUGGUGAUCUGUGUAAACAACCCGGUGCUGAAUGCAUGUAGGAUUUCCUGAGAGUACUCGGUGCUGGGCUUCCCUUUCGAGUUGGAGGUACCUGACAAAUUGACAGAGUACUUCUGUCUUUGUGAUCUCGUUUCAUCCUGAAGAUUGACUUGAUCAGAAGACAAUAAUCUGCCUGUCUUCGAAGCGUGAAGAUGAUGUGAAAUCUCUUGUUUUGGAGAAUCAAAAAGCAGUGAAGCCAAGUGCCUUCUACUUCAUUUGUGAAUGGAGCCAGAACCUGCUGCUGCUUCCCACACAAUCCAGUGCCACCAGUGUCCCUGCCCUGUCACAGGCACACAGGAAGGAAUGAAGGACCUGCUGAAGGUGGAUCUUGAUCGGGAUGGGACAAGUGAGGACGUGAGCUGAAGGACAUGAGGCUGCAAAGCACCAGUAAGAGAAGAUAACCAGGAAAUCUCUGGAGAUGGGAAUGUCACGGAUUCAGGGCCUUGUUCCUGUAGCUGCUCCAAGCUAGUCUGCUCAAAGGACAGCACAGAACACAUCAGGCUCCCUUGGUGUGAUUGGAAUCCACAGGAGCACAA